rnacentral:rRNA from 1 species
AACGAACGCUGGCGGCGUGCUUAACACAUGCAAGUCGAACGGAACGGCCCUGCUUUUUUGGGGUGCGCGGGUGGCGAACGGGUGAGUAACACGUGAGUAACCUGCCCUUGACUUUGGGAUAACUUCAUGAAGCUGGGGCUAAUACCGGAUAGGAGCUCCUGCCGCUUGGUGGGGGUUGGAAAGUUUCGGCGGUUGGGGAUGGACUGGCGGCUUAUCGGCUUGUUGGUGGGGUAGUGGCUUACCAAGGCUUUGAGCGGUAGCCGGCCUGGGAGGGGGACAGGCCAAGCUGGGAUGGGGAUGCGACACGGCCUCGUACGGGACGCGGCGGAGGGGUGUGGUGCACAGUGGGCGGGGGCCAGGUGCGACCACGCCGCGUGGGGGGUGACGGGCUGCGGGUUGUAUUGCGCUUUCGCCUGUGACGAAGCGUGAGUGACGGUAACGGGUAAAGAAGCACCGGCUAACUACGUG